GAAGCUUCGAUUUUCCAUCUGCUGAGGUCACCACGGAACCUCAUCACUGUCUGAGGAAACAGACCGGAAAGAUACACUGGUGUUCUGCUAGUGCAUGGGUGUCCAAGGAAUUAGUUUGGCUAUAGAAAGGACUUCAUUUAGUGUUCCAGCAAUGUCUGUUAGAACUUCAUUUACUUUUUUCAUGCCUUGGCUAAUUUUCCAUUAUUAAGGUUGGUUGUUGUACAUUAUUACCAUCCCAGAAAGCCUUGACUUCACUUUCUGGGCUACUUUAGUGUUGAUAUCAGCUAAAAAGUAAAAGCAUCUCCUUUAUUCAAAAUUACUCAAGUAACUCUUUUUUUUUUAAACUUUAUCCCAAGCUCUUCAAAAACUAUUUUAGGUGAUUUUCCUUCAUUUGUUUCUACCAUAAUAAGAAAGUGGGUUUCUUUUUCAUCUUCUCAAUAUUUGUUAUUGAGAAGUAUUUUUCCCCUCAGAAAACAAAAGUUGGCAAAGUUU
rnacentral:lncRNA from 1 species